rnacentral:misc_RNA from 1 species
GCAAGGAUGAACAGCCGCUGAGCCAGGCGAUGCAACUAGCGCAACAGCGACAGGAGUUGCCCAAGCAGGGCCAACCCAUGGGGCUCGGCUGGCACAUCGCUUCCGACGGAGCGCUGUGGCACAGCGGCAUGACAGCGGGAUACCACUCCUAUCUAACCGUGGUGCCCGAGCGCAACCUGGGCAUCGUGGUCCUGGCAAACACCGCCACGAUGAAGAUCUCUGAUCUGGCCGAUCAAAUCAAGCGUAUCGCCGAGGGGAAGAAGGUGAUUCCGCCCCAAGAUCGCAAGUCGAUCGAGGUCGAUCCGGCCGUGUUAGCAAAUUAUACAGGCGUUUAUGCGAUCGACUCUCAUUUCGCGCUGCGCGUCACGAUGGACGACGGUAAAUUGAUGGUGCAGGCGAUCACCGAGCCGGAAAAGUAUCAGGUGUUCGCCGAGUCCCCUACUAACUUUUUCUAUCGAGUCGCCGACGCGCAAUUGACUUUUGUCCCGGACGAAAACGGAAAGGUCAACGAGAUGCAGUUGCAACAGGGGGCACUGUCACAGACCGCAAAACGCGUGGCAGACGAGGGCAAGUUCAAGUUUCCCAAGCAGCGCAAGGCGAUCGAUGUCGAUCCCGGGGUCCUGGCCACCUAUGCGGGCACAUAUUCGAUCGUGCCGCAGUUCGGCCUGACCGUGACCGUCGAGGACGGCAAGCUGAUGGUGCAGGCCACCGCGCAGCCGAAGUUCCAGGUAUUCGCCGAAACGCCGACCGAGUUCUUCUAUAAGGUGGUCGACGCGCAGAUCACCUUCGUGCCCGGCGCCGACGGCAAGGUCGACAGCCUGAUCCUGCACCAGAACGGGCAGGACCUGAAGGGGACGCGGAAGGACUAGCCCAUCACCCUGCCCUCUCCUCGUAGGGGCGAGGGUUGCAAAAACGAGUUCAGCCGCCAAGAUUUUGCUGGACAACUAAUACUUAGUUAACUAAGCUUAGUGUCAAUAUACAAAUUCGGCAGCAAUCUCCUAUUAGGAGGGCGGCUCUGAUGCACGCUUCGUUGACCAUGGCGCUGGUCCUGGCGGCGCUACUUCCCACGUCCCUCUCUGCGGCAGAAGCGACUGCGCUGGAACUCAACAAACCGGUCGAGGCGAGUCUUCGCGCGGGGGAGACCCAUCACUAUGCGGUCGCCCUCAACAGCGGUGACUUCGUCAAAGGCACCGUCGCGCAACGCGGCAUCCCGAUCAACGUCAAAGGUUUUUUUCCUGACGGCGCGAAGAUUCGCUCGUUUGGCGGCGCGGACGAGGGAGUCAAGGGCUUUCGCUUCGUGGCCGAAGCGCCCGGCGCUUACCAGCUGGAGUUGAAGGCCGCCGACUCGGGCGGGCCAGGGAGCUACAAGAUUGAGAUUCAGCAGAUCCAGCCGAUGGCGGAGCGCCUGAAGAUUGUGGAGGAGGAGAAGUAUCGCAGCCCGCGCCUCGCUGCGCUGCGUUCCCAGCUAGAGGGCGGAAACCGUGCGGCGCUGGCCGACUUUUGGCGCGAAGUGGAACAGCAAGGCACGCCGUUGGCCGAGCCACUCUCGGACGACAACGAGAAUCUGUUGGUGACGUUUCUGUGGCGGGCCACGUUCGAGACCCACAACGUGCUGGUCAUGUGGGCGCCUUACACGACGGAGCACUUGGACCGGUUUCAAAUGGCACGGUUGGGCGACACAGACCUCUGGUACAAAAGCAUGCGGUUGCCCAAAGGGGCGCGCUUCACCUAUCAGCUUUCACCCAACGACACGCUGAGUAAUGCCGCCAAUGCGCAGCGGUUUGCCACUGCCCAAGCCGAUCCCUUGAAUUCUCAUCGUCGUCCCAAGAAUCCGAAUCUGACCAAGUAUGAAGUCUCUUCGAUUGCAGAAUUGCCUGGCGCGCCGGCACAGCCUUGGGCGCAGCUCCGCGACAACGUAGCCGCCGGCAAGCUGGAGGAUCAUCGGUUCCGCAGCACGCUGCUGAAGAACGAGCGGGGCGUCACCGUCUACCUGCCGGCUGACUAUCGGGCCGACGGCACACCCUAUGGACUGCUGAUCCUCUUCGACAAAGGUUCUUAUCUCAACGCGGGGGCGGCCCAAACAACACUCGACAAUCUGAUCGCCGAUCGCAAGAUCCCGCCGCUAGUGGCAGUACUGUUGGGCAACAUCAAUGACGAGACGCGGACGCGCGAAUAUGUUUGCAAUC